CGGUAAUUCCAGCUCCAAUAGCGUAUAUUCAUGUUGCUGCAGCUAAAACGCUCGUAGUCGAAUUUUAGAGCGCUGCAUAGUUGGUCUGUUCUUUGAAUGUGUACUGACUUGCGCGCUCUCUGCUCCAAGUAGGACAGUGUUCUUUAUUGGGCGCUGUUUUGUUUGGAAAGUUACUUUGAAAAAAUUAGAGUGUUCAAAGCAGGCAUUUCGCCUUGAAUACAUUAGCAUGGAAUAAUAAAAUAGGACUUUGGCCCUAUUUUGUUGGUUUUUAGAGCCGGAGUAAUGAUGAAUAGGGGCAGUCGGGGGCGUUGAUAUUCAACUGUCAGAGGUGAAAUUCUUGGAUUUGUUGAAGAUCAACUUCUGCGAAAGCAUUCGCCAAGGAUGCUUUCAUUGAUCAAGAACGAAAGUUAAGGGAUCGAAGAUGAUUAGAUACCGUCGUAGUCCUAACUAUAAAUGAUGCCAACUAGGGAUUGGUGGGUGUUUAAUUAUGACCCCAUCAGCAUCUUCCGAGAAAUCAAAGUUUUUGGGUUCUGGGGGGAGUAUGGUCGCAAGGCUGAAACUUGAAGAAAUUGACGGAAGGGCACCACCAGGAGUGGAGCCUGCGGCUUAAUUUGACUCAACACGGGAAAACUUACCAGGUCCAGACAUAGUGAGGAUUGACAGAUUGAGAGCUCUUUCUUGAUUCUAUGGGUGGUGGUGCAUGUCCGUUCUUAGUUGGUGGAGUGUUUUGUUUGCUUGAAUGCGAUAACGAACGAGACCUUAACAUAUUAAAUAGUGUGUUGGCGCCUUGGUGCCAAUGCUCACUUCUUAACGGGGAUGUGAAAGAAAAUUUCACGGAAGCAUGAGACGAUAUCGGGUAUGUGAUUCCAUUUGAUGUUCUGGGCCGCACGCGCGCUACCCCGGCACAGUCAACGAGUUUGUCUUUGGUGGAAAGGCUAGGGUAAUCUUUUCAAAUUGUGUCGUGCUGGGGCAAGACAAUUGCAAUUUUUUGUCAUAAAGCGAGGAAUUUAUAGUAAACUCGAGUCAUCAGCUCGCGUUGAUUACGUCCC
rnacentral:rRNA from 1 species